CACUGGCAAAAACAAAAGUCAGCUCCUAUGCAAACUGAAGCCUUGAACAAAGGACUGAAUGACCCAUCCAAGCUGUGGCUCUGUUCCAAACAGACUUUCAAACUGGCAACUCACCAAAACUGCUAAGAACCUGAUAUAUAAAUUUCUGAAUGUAUCUGACUGCUUUCCUAUUUAACAACUUCCUUUGUGUUUCUUGUUUUCUUUCUGUUUCUUAUCUAAGCUUUUAGUUUAGAUGCCUGGCAUCCUGGUAUUUUCAGUAAGAUCCAAACCCUUACAGGCUUGGUAACAUGGCUGACACUUUGAGGUCAAAAGAACAUUUUGUUUAUAAAUCCACUGAACUCCUUUGGAAACCCUGCUGAGAUGAAAUAAAACAGUUUCCCAACUUGAUGUGAUCUCCCAGCUGGAACAAUGGGAAGAGUCAUGGAUCUCAGACCUCCAGGGUUCAUAGGAACGAAAGAUCCUGAGAGCUCCCUGCACAGGUGAGUACACAUUAAACCAACUCAGAAUCUGUAAGUGCCUGAAGAAAACAUCUGGGAUGCCCUACAAAGCCCUUGGGAGGUCUCUCAGUUCAUUAUUGUCCCUAGCAGGAGUCAAUCCUCAGGGUAAAUAUAGCUCAUGGCUUCCUGUAGAUCCUCGCAGACACCAGGCAUUAGCUUCCUCCCUUCCCCCUGCGAAUUUGGAUGGCAUGCAGAAGCUGAAUUGAUCCCCUCCUCUCCUAUUUGGGGGAAGAGUUUGAGGGAGUUCAGUUCUUGAUUUUUAUUUGACCUCCCUCCAGCACUUGGUUUGGUUUGGUCUUUCCUUUUCCAUCCCUGUCUGAGGUUUCUGUCUCUCUCACAGCAGGUGAUGCGAUGCUAUGUGAGAAAGAGGAGGAGAAUUCUCAGCAGGAAAAAGUUGAGCAAGUGGAUAAACACAGAGAAUUAUCACAAAGAGUGAAAAGGAAUGUGUCCAGGAGUCAUGAGCGGGAAAAUCAUGUGAGACUCAGCACAGACCAGAAAGAGACCAGGGAAACCAGCCAGGAGAGAAAAUGAGUAAAUUUAUUUCCUGUCAGGGAACUCAGAAGAGCAUCAAGGAAACCAGAACACAGCAGGAAAUCCUCAUGGGAAAGAGGGAAAAUACAUGCAGUGAGUGUGGGAAAAACUUCACUUGAAGAUCAGCCCUUUCUGAACAUCAGAAAAUCCACACUGGGGAGAGGCCCUAUGAAUGCAGUGAGUGUGGGAAAACCUCCUCUUAGGGCCCAAAGAAAUUGUUUGUACAACCUCACUUCCUAGUUCAGUGUGUCUCAUUACGUUCCAGUGGAUGCCAGGGUUAGAUUGAGAACAAUCAUCCUUCACUGUUUGGAUUCAAAGUGAGAGUACUUCAUAGGACAUUUCUUCCCCUUGGAUCCCAAACUGGCUGCCUGAUUGGGUAACAAGGACUUUCAGGCUGUAGAAAUGAUGGUAACCAAUGAGGCAACAAAUGUUUCAAGCUCUAAUUUCAGACUUCUGGAUACUAGCGUGUUGAGUCCUUAUUCUGAGGUUUUGUGUCUGAUGCUGUGGCUACACAAUAAAGCUGAUGUUGGUGCAGCUAUAGCACUGCGAUUACAGUGCUCUCUGCCAAUGGGAAAAAUCUCUCCCCAGGAACUUUAUUAGUCCAGCCCCCACAAGUGGUGGUGGCUAUGUUGGCAGGCAAAGCUCUCCUGCUGAUGUAGUGUUAUUUCACAGGGGAGUAGGGCUCUGUAACUACAUUGCUCACCAGUGUGUAUUUUUCACACCCUUGAGCAAUAUCGUUAUACCGAUAAAUGACUUUAGUGUAGACCAGACCUUAAUUUUCUCUUGUUUUAUGUAUUUACAUCACUUCUCCUCUACCUCCUCCUACUUUGAAAGAUGUAAAAGUGUGAAAAGACAAGUAUUUUUCCUCAUGAUGCAAACAUUCCCAUAUAGGAGACUCCUUCCACCAACACACAUGCCAAAAGAGCCAGAGAGAGAUGAACUCACAGAAGUGGUUGGGAACCAAGUUGGGACAAACCACAACUUGAGCUAAGGAUCAGUUGUUGGCAAUGGGGAUUACAAUAAAACUAACAUAUACAAGAAGAAUUUGUGAUAUUUGAAUAUGUUGUUGUUACCAGUGAAAAUGAAAUUAUAGGUGAAGUUAUUGGUUAAAGAGUAAGACUUAUUGUUUGAUUAACUGAAUUAUUUUGGACAAUGGAAAGAUGUUUUUGUUUUGUUAGUCAUACAGGAAAUGAUGGCAAAUCUUAAAAAGUUGAUUUGAUUUAAUUUACCCUAUGUAGUGUACAGAUUUCUGGUAGAAAACCUCCCUCUAAAAGCUGGGAUGAGAGAAUGUGCAUGAGAAAGAGUGUGUAAGAGAAUAUUGGCCCAGUAUAGAUUUAAAUUUUUUGUAUUUCAAAUAGAACUUAUUUUGCUUAGCUUCAAAGUUAAUUUCUAUUAAAAGGAAAACUACUCGAGGAGAAAGUUAUAUAACUUUUUACUCACUGAGCCUGUAAGGGUCACGGAUUUCUCCACUUCUCUAAUUUGCAAAGGAGCAGCCUGACAUCUGUUAUAGGAUGUGUCCAACAGGUAUGAAAGCUGCAGUCGUCAACCAUCAAUAUCAAGGAAAAGACUGAUUACUCAGUUUUCUUUCAUGUCAAAAAGCCACCUAGAGGCUGAUCCACACUGAAAAGCUAUGGUGACAUAGCCACAUCUCUCCGGGGUGUGAAAAAUUUACU